AAUAGAUCUGCUUACGGAUCCUGGUUCAUGGCAAGGAACAUUGGAGUGAAAGGCGUGAAGGAACGGGGGAAGCCGAAUUGGCGCUGCCGCCCCCCUUGUGCCAAUGAUCUUUUCUGCGCCUCAAGUAAUGCCCUAUGUCAACAUUUUGCGACCACCAAAGGGACAGAUAGCGCAGAAGUCCUUGUUAGCCAUCCUGCUAACCGUGAUGAUGGUGGUUAUGUAAGCUCAGCCUACGUCAUUAAGAAUACCAGCCAUCGCGACGGUUCUAUAUACACAAGAGACUCUGGUCUUCAGGGACAAUGCCGUAUUACUGAGCGUGGUGAGACACAACUGGAGCCAAUGAUGAUAACAGAACCCACAGAUUGCUGGCCUGAUAGGGCAAGGUGUUGUGUGCAUUAUACUAGUUGCAUGAUGCAAAUUUUCUCAUUAAAGUUGGCUAGAACUUCUACUAACAUGGACUCCAUACAACUAUAUGGAUACAUAGCAGUGCGGGAUUGUCAAGAUCAAUUGCUUAAUUAUGUUAUUAAUCGUAGCAGGGAUGAUCCCAUCAUUAUGCGACAGGGUUCUCUCAUUGAGAUGACUGGACCUAAGCGAGGCAUCUCAAUGACUUCCUCUGUUCUAAUAGAGUUUGACAUGAGGAUUAAGAAAGGAGAGCAAGAAGAAGAUGAUCUACAAUUAGUUGACGGGGCAGCAGACUACUGCAAUCUAACCAUGCCUUGCACGCCAUUCACGAAUCGCAUUCAUGGGGAUUGUGGUGCAGUUGACAUCACUUUAGCAAUGUUGUACAGGGCAGUGGAGGUAACAAUAGAGGUUGACAUAUCAAAACUGCAGAGUGGAUUCAAUUUGUCUCUCAGUUCGUUCGUGUUUAUCCGUGGGUCACCUCACAGAAUUGAGCUCUUUCGUGGCACUAUUGGCGAGUCAUGUAGCUUAAGAAGAUGUGAUACUCCGAUGCAUCUAAAGUUCAAAUAUGGUCAAGAAGGCUCUAAAAAUGGUGAGCUUGAACGCUGCUGAUACUUCAAAGCGAGCAUCCAUGGACGUGCCUGUCGACAAAUAAAACUUAAGCCUGCCUCUAUCUCAGUGAAGGUGACUUGGUCUGCUGUUUUUUGA
rnacentral:rRNA from 1 species